rnacentral:rRNA from 1 species
UACGAAGGGGGCUAGCGUUGCUCGGAAUCACUGGGCGUAAAGGGUGCGUAGGCGGGUCUUUAAGUAAGGGGUGAAAUCCUGGAGUUCAACUCCAGAACUGCCUUUGAUACUGAAGAUCUUGAGUUCGGGAGAGGUGAGUGGAACUGCGAGUGUAGAGGUGAAAUUCGUAGAUAUUCGCAAGAACACCAGUGGCGAAGGCGGCUCACUGGCCCGAUACUGACGCUGAGGCACGAAAGCGUGGGGAGCAAACAGG